AUGCAGCGGCACAUCUCCUUUCGGAGUUUGAUGCGCGACGCCACGGCAUGGGCAGCAAGCCCUGUCGGUCGGCUCGCCCGCAUCGAAGUUCUGGUGACCAUCAGCUGCGGAUUUCUCACCGUGCUGGUCCUCCUCGGCUCCGGCCGCCGCGCCAGCCACAGCUCUGCCUUGCGGUUGGCUGUCUGGUCGGCUCUGAUGCUGAGUUACCAAGCCGUCUCGUACACCAUCGGGCUCAUGCAGUCCGCCUCCUUCCACAACGAGCUUAUAGUUGCAUGGGGCUGCUUCCUCCUCCUCCUCCUCGGCACCGCCGACGGCAUCGCCGCCUACAGCCUCAACGACUCGGACCAGCAAGCCCGCACCGUCCUCAACCAAGCGGUCCAGGUCAUCUACAUCUUCCUCCUCCUACUGUCCUACGUCGGCUCUCUUCCGCUCCAGCUCGAAGUCCUCCUCUCAACUCUGCUGGUGCUGAGCGUCGCCAAGCUCGGGAUGCGCGUCAGGAACUUUCUUCUCGACGGCCGAGACCGUGUCCUCACCGUGGACAACAAGCUCGUGGCCGACUAUAUGGCACGCGAGCACGGGUACAGCGGCGAGAAGUACGACGCCACCACCAUGGAAGGUUACAAGUACGUGGUCGCCGGCGAGGCGGCGGAGCUUCACGAUGGAGAAACGGACUACUGGGCGAUCGAUCCCGAGACCAAUCCUGACCUUGUCACGGUCGAGAGGGUGUGGCAGUGCCAGGGGCGUCUGCUGAGUUCGGAUGUGGAUGGCGGCGAGACGAUGCCGGCGGCGCUUAAGCACAAGGAUCUGUGCCUUUCCUUCGCGCUGUUCAAGCUUCUCCGGCGGCGGCUCGGUCGGUACCCACUCCACGAGUCAUGCCUCAACAAGACAAGGGACUUGGUCAAGCUGGGCCUCCUCGCCGGAGACGACCACGAGAGGGUGUACCGUGUGGUGGAGGUCGAGCUGGGCUUCCUCUUCGAUUUCUACUACGCAAGGUACCGGUCGCCCAAGGAGACCCUCAUACUGGACACGCUUCUCUUCGCCACCGUUGCUGCGACGAGCCUGUGCACUCUGUUCUCGUUGGCGGCGCUUGACCACCGCGCCCAACAAAGGCAAGCCUACCCUGACACGGUCACCACCGUGUUCGACAUCUGGCUGACAAGAAUGAUGAUCGUCCUGUUCUUGAUCCUAGAGUCGCUCCAGUACUUCACGCUGGUGUUCUCGGACUGGCACAAGGUGAAGGUGCUGUGCCGGUACGUGCUGAACGAGGCCUGGCACAACAGCCCCUUCCUGGAGCGAAUCCUGGCGUUCAUCUGCCGUGUCAGGCUGACACCGUACUGGAACAACUCCCUGGGGCAGCACUCGCUCUUGCACGCCUGCCACCGGUACGAGCAGGGCCGUCUGCGCCGCGUUUGGGGGCUGCAGCUCCCCGGACGGAUCGCGGGCUUCCUCAUCCGGAGCAGGAUGACGGAUCGCCGGAAGCUGCCCGCCGCGGUGAAGAGCGCCAUCUUCCUCUUCCUGAAGACCGGGAUGACGCGGAUCCAGAACGGCGAGUACACCCUGGAGAAGCAGGGGAUGCUCGGCCAUUUCUACUGGGCCAUCGCGCAGGAGAGCACCGUCCAGACCAUCAUGAUUUGGCACAUCGCCACUGCGAUAUGCGACCACAAGUCCAAGCCCAACCGCGCUGACAGCACCGACGAGGAGAAGAAGGGCCACGAGGUGGCCACCACCCUGUCGGCGUACUGCGUGUACCUCAUGUCCUCGGCGCCGGAGCUGCUGCCGGGUCACACCUACGACACGCAGCUUCUGUUCCAAGGCGUGCAGCUCAAAGCGAGGAAACUCCUCGAAGGUUGCCGGUCCAAAGAUGACAUGUACAACAAGCUGCCGGAGCCGGAUUCCCUGUGUGGCGACGGCUACGAGGGCAUCCUCGCCGACGGCCGAAAGCUAGGGGAUGAGAUAAUGCAGAGGAUGCCAGAUGCUGUGCGCUGGAAGGUUCUCGGCGAGAUGUGGGUGGAGAUGCUGCUGUCAGUCGCGCCAUCGGAUAACGCGACCGCCCACGUCCAGAAGCUGGCGACCGGCGGCGAGCUCAUCACGCACCUGUGGGCAUUGUUGACGCACGCCGGUGUCAUCGAAAAGCCAAUGAGCCGGUACAGCGGAAGGGCCCUUGAAAUGCAGAUCUAG
rnacentral:rRNA from 1 species